AGUGAACGCUGGCGGUAGGCCUAACACAUGCAAGUCGAACGGCAGCACAGUAAGAGCUUGCUCUUACGGGUGGCGAGUGGCGGACGGGUGAGGAAUACAUCGGAAUCUACUUUUUCGUGGGGGAUAACGUAGGGAAACUUACGCUAAUACCGCAUACGACCUACGGGUGAAAGCAGGGGAUCUUCGGACCUUGCGCGAUUGAAUGAGCCGAUGUCGGAUUAGCUAGUUGGCGGGGUAAAGGCCCACCAAGGCGACGAUCCGUAGCUGGUCUGAGAGGAUGAUCAGCCACACUGGAACGGAGAAGCGGUCCAGCCUCCUACGGGAGGCAGCAGGGGGGAAUUUUGGACAAUGGGGGAAACCCUGUCCCAGCCAUCCCGCGGGGGUGAAGAAGGCCUUCGGGUUGUAAAGCCCUUUUUUUGGGAAAAAAAAGCAGCAGUUUAAUCCCCCGCUGUUCUGGCGGUACCAAAAGAAUAAGCCCCGGCUAACUUCGU
rnacentral:rRNA from 1 species